GAAAACCAGCGAGAAAGGAGCGAGGUCUGAGUAUGGCAGCGAAUAGGAACUUGAAGCAAGUGCGGAUCGAGAAUAGCUCCCCAGCAGCGCCGCUGGGCAUGGUGGGGGGUGGUGGCGGCAACCUGAAGGGAUUGCGGGGCCUAGAAACGGAGGGUGAGGCAGCGGCGGCCAUGGCGCUAGUGCCGAGCAAAGAAGGUGGAGAUGAAGAGCAAGAGGUUGGAUUCACCAUCGAUAUCAAAAGCUUUCUCAAACCUGGCGAGAAGAGCUACACGCAGCGCUGCCGGCUGUUCGUGGGGAAUCUGCCUACUGAUAUCACCGAGGAAGAUUUCAAGCGCCUCUUCGAGCGCUACGGGGAGCCUAGCGAGGUCUUCAUCAAUCGGGACCGUGGCUUUGGCUUCAUUCGCCUGGAAUCUAGGACACUGGCUGAAAUAGCAAAGGCAGAACUUGAUGGUACUAUUUUGAAGAGCAGACCACUUCGAAUUCGAUUUGCUACACAUGGAGCUGCCCUAACGGUCAAGAAUCUUUCACCUGUGGUUUCUAAUGAGCUGCUGGAACAAGCGUUCUCUCAAUUUGGGCCAGUGGAAAGAGCUGUUGUUGUAGUAGAUGAUCGUGGCAGAGCUACAGGAAAAGGUUUCGUAGAGUUUGCAGCAAAACCUCCAGCUCGGAAAGCUCUAGAAAGAUGCAGUGAUGGGGCAUUCUUGCUAACAACAACACCUCGACCUGUUGUUGUGGAACCGAUGGAGCAAUUUGAUGAUGAAGAUGGGCUCCCAGAGAAGCUAAUGCAAAAAACACAACAGUAUCACAAGGAAAGAGAACAGCCUCCACGUUUUGCUCAGCCUGGAACAUUUGAGUUUGAGUAUGCUUCACGGUGGAAGGCUCUUGAUGAGAUGGAAAAGCAACAGCGUGAACAGGUUGACAGGAACAUUAGAGAAGCCAAAGAGAAACUAGAGGCAGAAAUGGAAGCAGCUAGACAUGAGCAUCAGCUAAUGCUGAUGAGGCAAGAUCUCAUGCGACGUCAAGAAGAAUUGAGGCGUUUGGAAGAACUUCGCAAUCAAGAACUUCAAAAACGCAAGCAAAUACAAUUGAGACAUGAAGAAGAACAUCGACGUCGCGAAGAAGAGAUGCUACGCCAGAGGGAACAGGAGGAAUUACGACGACAGCAGGAGGGAGGAUUUAAGCCAAAUUUCAUGGACAAUGUUACUGUUAAAAUCUUAAAAGGAAGACUGGCUUGUGCAGAAUCCUUCUGCUAUCUUAUGCAUACAAAAGGGAAUCCUAAACCAAGUUUUAGUACGAGGUUUCAGUGAAAACCACUGGUGGCUAUACGCCCUCAGCCCUGAAGAUGGCUUUCUGCUCUACCGUCAUCAUGUGCAAAACGCUGCUCUUCAAGUUGGAAUUACAGGGACCAUUGGGACAGGCCUGUCCUGCGAGACCUGAGGGAAUAGGGCUGUUUCAAAUGAUGGGAAGGGGACCAGCAUGGAGGUGGCCUCCCCCCCACCAGCACCCCGGGUUGGAGAAGACACAUCAGAAGAAUCUGAAUACGAUGUCUGCUUGCCAGGUUCAAGAUGCCUUUUCCUGUACGAGGAGACGAAUUACAGCUUUUGUGAUGUUACUGUCUUCAGACUCCAGCAGAGAAGGUGGUACCCAGUGUUAGGCAAAGUCGAGCAUUGCGUAGUAAAGCUGAUGUUGGCCAACUCUGAUGUGUAACUGAGGUCUUGACUCCCUUUUUAUCCAGAUUGUACCGGAAGCAGAUUUUUCUUUCCAGAAAUAACUAGUGCUGGGAAAUGGUGUUGAUAAAAGGAUGAAAGUUUGUACAUGAUACAACAGGAAUCAGAGUAAAUGAUGUAUUAAAAGACUGCUCCUUGGUUAAAUGAUUGGUUUUGGACUAAAAACCGUUAGACGUAAAUGAAAUGAGUAAGAAAAUAUUUUCAAGCACUAAAAUAUGUGACAAAAGAUAGGAAAGUGGUGGGUUUUAUAUUUAAAGAAAAAAGUGUGGAUUGUGUUUAAGUUGCAGUAGAGUUUAAAAGAGCACAGAAGUAUUAGUUACCUAGAGAAAAUGGUAUAAGCCAUUUUCAGCCAACAGCUGAAAAGGACUGGAUGGGAGAUUAAAGCUGCAGUAAGAUUUCACUGUCCAUGCAGUUAAGUUUGAGUUGGAAGUUUUGCUAAAGAUGGCUGCUGUCUUAAUGUAGCCCAAUAAAAAGAUGAAAAAAACCCCAUGAAAUGAAUAAUGAAAAAUGUGAUUUUAACAUUGCACUACAAUCUAUCACCAGUUUUUUUUCAGGGUUUCUGUAUCUAUUAUAAAACUGUUUCAAAUUAAGCAAUGAAUAACAGGAUGUUUAUUUUCUAUUUCCUGAAAUCAACAAGGCAGUGGACAUGAAUCGAGGGUCUGACAGGAACCUCACCGAGUUCAAAAAAGGCAAAGGCCAAGUCCCACAGCGGGCACUGAAUUAACUUGAUGCGGUUGCGCAGCCUGGGCACAGACAGGUUGCGAAGCAGCUUUGCAGAAGCUGAUCUGGGAGUCCGGAGGGACCAGUGCAGAUGAAGGUGUCCAGCCACAUUCUGGGCUCCAUUAGAAGAGCACAGCUGAGCAGGGGCAAGGAAAGCAAUCCUUCCUCUCUGGUCAGUGCUUCCACAACUGCAGCUGGAGCGCUGUGACCAGUUCUGGGCUGCUGCAGACAAGAUGCAUAUGGGAACAGGUCCAGUGGAGGCCACCAAGAUGAUCAGGAGGUUAGAGCCCAAGAGCUACGGGGACAGGCAGCGGUGUUUGUUCAGUCUGGAAAACAGGAGGUCAGGGGGGUAGGAAAUCUUCUUUCUUCAGCUGUGUAAUGGGAGGGGUAGAGAAGAUGGAGCCAGGCUCAUCUUAGCAGUGCACAGUAGUGAGGAAGUCUUGUAUAGUUUUCAGUGUAUGUAAGUGUUGCAUCAUACCACUAAUAAAAAUAGUGUCAGUA